ensembl:lncRNA
CCUCCGGGCCAUAAAAAGCCCUCCAGGCCAAAAUAUUUUCCCGCUGUCAGGCAGAUUUCGGGGUCCUCACAGGGUAGACGUCUCGGGUUUGGAGGUUUCGGCGCGAGGGUCGAGGGGCCGGACGGUGGCUCUCCCUACCCGGCCCCCGGUCGGUGGUACAGCCUGCUCCGCCACCGUCACGUGGGCGCCCCCUCUGUGACGUCGGCGUCUUCGCUGUAGCAAAGCUCGGCCUCUGGAAUUCUGAGAACUAAUUUGCUAUUCGGUGACAUAAGAGGGGGAGUGCGCUUUGCUUCCCCGGGGUCUGGGGCUCAUUUCUCCUCUCUUCCCCAUAAACUCAGCUCCUCCGAGCUCAAAACACAAAAGGAAGCGAGAGGUUGGAACCUUUGGGAAAAGUCUGUUAUAUAUAGUAGGUUUCGGGGCGAGUAAGAGAGAGAGAAAAAAAAAAAAAACAAUAAACACCACAGCUCUUUCCAGCUAGAAUAUUAGGCACCACGAGAAAAAUAUUUGCCAAGCAGUUUUCGGCAGAUUCUUCACCAGCUGAGCCACCAGGGAAGCCAAAGAACACUGGAAUGCAUAGCCUAUCCCUUCUCCGGCGGAUCUUCCCGACGCAGGAAUUGAACCGGGGUCUCCUGCAUUGCAGCUUAUCAUUAGAAGAGGAUACGGGGUGGGCAGACCUGCCAAAGAGCCAUUUUCUGUGGCCUUACAUUUUCUGUGACCUUCAGAGAAGUCUCCACUUUUGGACUCCUGAGAUCAUCUCCACUGAGGUUCUACAUCAGUCUUAACAGUACAAUGACAGUAUGGAAAGGAGCAGACUGUCAUUCACAAGUUCUGCAUGUUGGUCCCAGUGUAGGACGCCGUAUAGGAGUCCUCACAGGUUCCUAUGGUACUGUGACUUAUCACUGUUAAUAAACCUAUAAUUAUCUUAGGAGUAGUGUGAUUGCAUUGUAAUUGUGUGUACAUUGGUGUUAAAAAUGUAAAAUUUAAUGUAUUUU